rnacentral:rRNA from 1 species
AUGAACGCUAGCGGCAGGCCUAAUACAUGCAAGUCGGACGGGAUUCAGGAGCUUGCUUCUGAUGAGAGUGGCGCACGGGUGCGUAACACGUAUGUAACCUACCUUUAUCAGGGGGAUAGCCUCUCGAAAGAGAGAUUAAGCCCGCAUAAAAUCACAGCACAGCAUUGUGUAAUGAUCAAAUAUUUAUAGGAUACAGAUGGGCAUGCGGAACAUUAGCUAGAUGGCGGGGUAACGGCCCAACAUGGCGACGAUGUUUAGGGGAUCUGAGAGGAUGGCCCCCCACACUGGUACUGGGACACGGACCAGACGCCUACGGGAGGCAGCAGUAAGGAAUAUUGGUCAAUGGGCGGAAGCCUGAACCAGCCAUGCCGCGUGCAGGAAGACGGCCCUACGGGUUGUAAACUGCUUUUAUACGGGAAUAAACCCAGAUACGUGUAUCUGGCUGAAUGUACUGUAAGAAUAAGGAUCGGCUAACUCCGUG